AUGUACUAUGCCUCAAGCAUCUUUCGCUCAAAGAGGAAUCCGAAAAGCUAUAAGAGAAGAAGUUGGUUGGCUUUAUCCUCCUGACACAGAAAUACCUGCAACGAGCUCGUGCAUCACCGAAAUUUCGUCGAGCCGUAGUAGUCAAGAACGAAGAACGAAGAUUUGUGAGAUAAGAUCAGGCCUCACCUGGAUUAUCGGAUGUAUCGGUAACAUCGGCUGUACUACGUAAAUCGGUUGAUUCUUCGGUACAUGGUUCUGUGCUGUGACCCACUGGUGGACCAUGUUGCGAGUCUUCAGUCGACCGUCGCUUGCAAUUUCGUCGACAUUGUUUGCUCGAAGACACCCGCAUAGUUUAGGGGUUAAAGUUAAGCAAAUGUAACCAGAAACUAAUAAUUCGGCCACGCUAGCUAUCAAUAAUCCAAUGCUAGCCAAUAUACCUGCCCAGGUACCCUCUAUUUCUGCUGCGUCUCCAUCUUCAUUCUUUAACAGUUGAGAUCAUUGACCGGAAGAGGUGCGUUCCACAGCGUUCAAGAUUCAGAGGCAGGAGGCAAUUUGUGAAAUUUCACGAUGCCCUGACCGCAUUUUAGCCUUGGCAUUGGAAACUUUCUCUGACGGUCAAACGGUUUCAACGGCCCUGUUCUGGUUGGUCUGAGACGCCAAAACCCGUCGAUCUGAUCGGUGAACGAGAAAAUGAUCAAGAACGAAUUUGGGCCACCAAUACCGCUUAUUAAUUGAGUUUUAAAUACGUACAAUGUUACAAUUAUACAGCAAUGUUCAGAAGAAAAAAGAAAUGCAUAGAAAAAAAGAAUAACUAGUGAAAGUACAGACAAUACGUACCGGAACAGUGAGCAAGGUCACUUCCGGUGUUCUCUGG